rnacentral:sRNA from 1 species
ACCUAGCCCUGAUGGAAGCGAAAAGCCUUUUGAAGCGUACAGCAGGAUUAAGC